GUGCUUGCCUCAGCAGCACAUAUUCUAAAAUUAGAACAAUACAGAAAACAUUGGUAUGGUCCCUGAGCAAGGAUAACAUGAAAAUUUGUGAAGAAAUUUAUUUUACU
ensembl:snRNA U6 U6 spliceosomal RNA